rnacentral:lncRNA from 1 species
GAGACAAUACCAUUUUCUUGCAGAGUCAUGUAAAUUAAAAUAAAUAAAGUGCUUCUGAUAUUAAACAAAAUAGUUUUCAUUGCAACCUUUCCAAAUAAAUAUGUAACAAAUUUCAGUUAUUCAUAUUGUUAGACAACAAAUAAAGAGACCACAUUAUCUUUAACCAUCUAUGUGGGAACUUCAACAAGGAAGUUGUGUGCCAAAGAGAUGCAAUUUUGAAGUUAGAGCAAGGAAUCGUUCACCUCAUCACCUAAAAGAGUAGUGAUUCGAUAUCUGCUAUUCUGCACACCUACAAAGAGAGAAUAAAGCUGACGCUCAAUAGCCCUGCCCCAGUGUACUACGGGAGUUCGGACGAACCAGUAGCUUUUGUGUAGAUUAUGUAUUUGUAUUAGAAAAUUCAGUAUAUUUAUAUAAAAAAUUAAUGUGCUAACCCACAUAACAAUGUUGACUUUCGGCCCAAUGGUAAACAGGGAGACCUUAAGGUUUUCCACCCCUGAAGUUGGGGUUCUAACCCAACUUUUUAGCAUUGAUAAUUCUUUUUCGCUGGGGAAGGGAUAUUUGAGCAAAUUUCUUCAAAUAAUUAAAAAGAAAAAACAGCUACA